GCGAUGUCUAGCGGACAUAACGUUAAGGAACAGACACACAUUCAAUACCUACUGUAUUAAUACUCCUUCAACAGCUGUUAUUUACCAACAAGCACCUUCCCUGUGACAUUCAUCCAAAUAGGACUGGUUGUGUAGCAGCUAGAGCUAGAGUUUUUUAACCUUAAAUGUUUCUCUUCUUUAGGUCUCUUCUCCUGUAUGGCCUGGAAGUCUUUUCACUCAUAGAUUUGUAAAGGGAAUUGUAUAGUAAUUCUUCGCCGAACCAAGACCAUAAUGUAGCUUUUGAGGAACAUUUUCCAUUGGAAAAGCACAGGGAUUAUCAAGCAACCAACUACCACACCACAUAAAAAAAGAAGAAAAUGUUGAUAUAUUAUAGCUGGUGAAGAGAGUUCAAGUCCGGGAGGAUGUGAUGCACGAAGGUCAACACAGACUCAUAAUAAAGGAUACUGUUGUCA